ensembl:lncRNA
UGACUUUUCUCAGUUCAUGGGCAGUUAUUUUGCGCCUUGGUUUUUCCACACGCUUCUUGCGACCCUGUUGACUAUUUUGAAUGAAACGCUUGAUUGUUCGAUGAUCACGCUUCAGAAGCUUUGCAAUUUUAAGACUGCUGCAUCCCUCUGCAAGAUAUCUCACUAUUUUUGACUUUUCUGAGCCUGUCAAGUCCUCCUUUUGACCCAUUUUGCCAAAGGAAAGGAAGUUGCCUAAUAAUUAUGCACACCUGAUAUAGGGUGUUGAUGUCAUUAGACCACACCCCUUCUCAUUACAGAGAUGCACAUCACCUAAUAUGCUUAAUUGGUAGUGGGCUUUCGAGCCUAUACAGCUUGGAGUAAGACAACAUGCAUGAAGAGGAUGAUGUGGACAAAAUACUCAUUUGCCUAAUAAUUCUGCACUCCCUGUAUUGGUGCAGGAUCAUACCCCUGAGCAGUUUCUAUACUUGGACCUUACAUACCAAGGCAGAAUGGAAUGAGCUGGAUGAGCUGAUGAGUAGACCCAAGUGAAGCAGAGGGCAGGAGGUGUCAUCUGUAACAGGAAUAAGGAGCAAGGCUUGUGACUGAAACUCAGCAGUGAAUCUGAAAGAUUUCUAUUUUUAAAUAUUUACAAUUGUUUAAUUGAUGAUUAAAAAAUGGGAAGAUUAAUCACCAAAAGGAAAGAAAAACUAAUCUGACUGAUGACAGUGCCCAAAGUAAUAUUCUGAUCUUAGACCAGCAGAUAACCUCACCAAAUAAUAAUUAACAACAUAAGAAAUACUAAUAGUUUAGAAAAUAGCUUUUGAGAUUUGGAAAAUGUUUCACUUUAUUAAAAUGCAAUCACUUUUUUUUUUUUUAAUUUUAUUUUUUUAAAUGUACUUGUUGGUUUAUCCAGGGACCGAUUCACUGCUAAAGCUGAUAACUGUUCCAUUGUUAGUGCCUACAAGACAUCAGCGUACUCACGGUGAUAUAGUUAUUAUUCUUUUUGGAUAGUUUUAAACAUGUUUUUCCAAAAUAAAAGUAAUGAGCACAGCUGGGAUUGAAACCACAAACUUCUUUUUAAAUAAAUAAACACAUCAGAGGUGAAGUCUGAGUAAGUAAAGUAAGGUCCACAUUUUUUUUUCUAUUUUCCCAUUUUGUACAGAUUUGUAACGCACAUAGUGAUGUGAUUACUGAAUUUAGUACAGUAACUUGUUACAUUACUGUGUUGCUGAAAAAUGUAACGGACUGAUAAAUAGCUAAGCAUAACAAAUGUUAAUGAAAUCUGUUUAUGUUUUUUAUGUCUGAAAGAAAAAGAAAAUAUCAGCCUAUAUAUCAAAUUUUUAAAUCAACAAAUAUCGGCAUCGGUCUUAAAAAUAUGUGAUACCCAGGUUUUAUUCUGGGAGUUUUACAAAGGCUGCCCUGUUUGGUAAAAUCCCUACACUCCUGUAUCCUGCCUUCUCUGGAAAUCAUUUUCUCAUUUUCUUUGUCUGCUCAUGGAAAAGAAUAAAUGUAGCGUUCAGGUGAUCUCCUGAACAUAACACAAUAUUUUGACUUUGGUUGACCUCUGUAAAUGAGGAAGAUUUGUGACACACACCAUCUCUAGUCCAUAUAUCUGCUCCAUCAGCUGUGGGCGGAUGCACGUAAAGUAUUUUAAUAUCAGUUGUCUUUACCCCUUGCCUUAGGUAGCAGGAGAAAAGCUUAGAUCAACGACUAUUUGGUCUGUAACUAGCACACACAAAAGUGUGCUUGGUUAAAAGAAUACAUUAAGUGAAACCUGAAUGAAGGGUAUUUCCUCACUCUAAGUGCCUAGCAAAGGAUAGUAAUGGUUUUACUACGACUGAGCUGCUUCUACUAACCCUUCUGAAGGUUUCUUCCAUUUUCUAGCCUUGCUUCAGUCUUCAUGUUCUCAGUAAGAAGAAGCAGAUGCUCUGAAGUUUAGAAAUUGUUAGUCCUCAGUGGCUGAAUGUAUUUCUUCAGGUUCAUUUUGUAUGUGAAUUUUGUAAAGCUCAAACUGCCUUGGAGAGUAAAUCACCAUGAAAGGUGAUUCUCAGUUCCCAGUUCAUUCCAACACAUUUAGGACUUAUUUAAAGCCAUGAAGGCAGAAUUAAAAAAAGUAAAGUUACUGGUUUGGUUUUGCCCCUUCUCCAACACGCCAUACUCUGAUUUAAAUUGGAAUAACCGUGAUUGUUGCAUUGUUAUGAUCUUUUCUCUGAUCUACCAGCAGAUGAGUAUAACACGAAGAACCUAUGUGAUUUCCAUUCCCAGACAAUCAUUGAAUGCCAAAAAGUUGUGUGUUUUUUUGUCUAACACAAAAUGAUCUUUUGAUGGGAACGCAACAGGCGCUUAACAAGAAGAAAUACUGACACACUACAACGACUUACUCUGUUUGGGUGCAGCUGUGACUCAACAGCUGGUUGUUAAAUUCUAGUGAUUUGUGCCAACUGAAUGUCAACAUAGCUACUGAUAACCACAACCUGUGUCUGUCCUGUAGUGACGAUGAUGAUGCGUCUGUAAUAUCAGAGUCUACAAUAAAACUGGAUGUUGAUAACACAUUGAUUUGUGAUCAUUAGUUUCCCACACUGAUGUAUUUUUGUGCUUUCAGUGUUGUUUGGAUUGAUAUUAAAGAAUUUUUUCCC